CUCCCCCAGCUGCAAGGGAGGCUGUGAAAUGAAGUCUCUAGUUGGAUAGCAGUAAGUCCUGCUGAGUUCAGCAGUUGCUGUUCCUAAAAGGAAGAAAUGGGUAGAAUGGAUAUUGGUGGACAUUUAGAGACAAGGAAACUGGACAACUCUAGACUGUUGCCAGGAGUCAGGAGAAGACAACAGACGAUGGUACUUAAGGCUUUGGCUUUGGAAAAAGAGAUACCUGGAUUCUGAUCCUGAAGUCUCUCACUUAAACUUUACAAGUCUCACUUUCUCAUCAGAUAACCUUAUCUUGUACAAGAUUCAUGUGUUGGUGAGCUCAUUUCCACCAGAACUCAGCCCAGGCUGCUGUGGGAUGGAAUCACCUGCACCCGGAUGUUCUUUCUGGGCUGGUACAUACAGUUUCACCAGCAACAGAGAAAGCAGAAGCCAUCCUGGGCAAACCUGGACAGGUGGUCACCGUGUGAAACCUGAAGUCCCCUUUGAUCCUCCCAUCUGGUUACAACCACCCCCAAUCAGAGCUGCCUGGACCUUGCCCGGCCUCCUCCUCACUCACCGAGCCACCGGAAUAAAGUUGGAAGUGUUUGUGCUGUACUUUAAUCAGCAUUUAAUGACCCAGUCGAAAAUUCAUUGUUUGGACCCAAGCACUGGUGGGAAAGGCAGGAGGGGAGGCCUGCCUUCCUUCCUCCCUCCCGAGCCCUACAGCAGGCCAUGGAGUGGUGAGCGAGUUCGUACAGUGCCAACCACAUUCCCAGAAACUUCCAGCAGAGGUUAAUCCUGCUCCUCUCAG
rnacentral:lncRNA from 10 species